CUCUAAUAGCGUAUAUUAUAUUGUUGCAGUUAAAAAGCUCGUAGUUGAAAUUUGGGACUUUAUUAUUAUUGGUUUAUCUUUUGAUGAACUGUAUAAUGGGUUUCUUCCUACUAGAGUUCGAUUCUGUUCUUAAUUGAAUGGAGUAGCUAUCUCUCGGGGUAGUCAGUUGGUUAUUAUGUCUCCACUAAUGAGCGGAGAGGGGUAAAACCUUCAAAGUGAGUUUUGUGGGUCAAGAUAUAGUGAUUAAUUGGAGUUCUAGUUCGUUUACUUUGAGAAAAUUAGAGUGUUUAAAGCAGCCUCUUGGGGCACUGAAUACAUUAGCAUGGGGAUAAUAAAAUAGGAUCUUCACAAUAUAUUUUUAUUGGUUUAAAUUGCGUAUGAAGAUAAUGAUUAAUAGGGAC
rnacentral:rRNA from 1 species